rnacentral:rRNA from 1 species
AAUGAACGUUGGCGGUGCGCCUUAUGCAUGCAAGUCGAACGGUCGAGUAUGUAACUUGUUAUGUGCUCGGUAGUGGCGAACGGCUGAGUAACACGUAAGUAACCUGCCUUGGAGUGGGAAAUAACUUGCCGAAAGGCGAACUAACGUCCCAGUGGUAGCGAAGCAAAUGCUUUGUUAUUAAAGCCUUAGGGUGCUCCCAGAGGGGCUUGCGUCUGAUUAGCUAGUUGGUAGGGUAAUGGCCUACCAAGGCGAUGAUCGGUAGCUGGUCUGAGAGGAUGGUCAGCCAGAUGGGGACUGGGAUACGGCCCCAACUCCUACGGGAGGCAGCAGCAAGGAAUCUUGGGCAAUGAGCGAAAGCUUGACCCAGCGACACCGCGUGAGGGAAGAAGGCCUUCGGGUUGUAAACCUCUUUUCUUGGGGAAGAAUUCUGACGGUACCCAAGGAAUAAGCCUCGGCCAACUACGUGCCAGCAGCCGCGGUAAUACGUAGGAGGCGAACGUUAUUCGGAUUUACUGGGCGUAAAGGGAGCGUAGGCGGUUCCUUAAGUCAGAUGUGAAAUCUUCUGACUUAAUCAGAAGGGGUCAUUUGAUACUGAGGGACUUGAGAACAGCAGAGGGAAAUGGAAUCCCCAGUGUAGCGGUGAAAUGCGUAGAUAUUGGGGAGAACACCAGUGGCGAAGGCGAUUUUCCAGGUUGUUUCUGACGCUGAGGCUCGAAAGCGUGGGGAGCGAAGCGGAUUAGAUACCCGCGUAGUCCACGUCCUAAACGGUGGACACUAGACAUGGGAGGUAUCGACCCUUUCUGUGUCGAAGCUAACGCCUUAAGUGUCCCGCCUGGGGAGACGGCCGCAAGGCU